GGGGACGUAGCUCAGCUGGUUAGAGCGCUUCCUUGACAUGGAAGAGGUCAUAGGUUCAAGUCCUACCGCCCCCACCA
rnacentral:tRNA from 1 species